rnacentral:rRNA from 1 species
CAGUCGCCGCGGUAAUACGUAGGUGGCAAGCGUUAUCCGGAAUUAUUGGGCGUAAAGCGCGCGUAGGCGGUUUUUUAAGUCUGAUGUGAAAGCCCACGGCUCAACCGUGGAGGGUCAUUGGAAACUGGAAAACUUGAGUGCAGAAGAGGAAAGUGGAAUUCCAUGUGUAGCGGUGAAAUGCGCAGAGAUAUGGAGGAACACCAGUGGCGAAGGCGACUUUCUGGUCUGUAACUGACGCUGAUGUGCGAAAGCGUGGGGAUCAAACAGGAUUAGAUACCCCGGUAGUCCUGUCUCUUAUACA